rnacentral:tRNA from 3 species
GCGGACGUGGCGGAAUUGGUAGACGCGCUAGAUUUAGGUUCUAGUGCCGUAAGGCGUGAAGGUUCAAGUCCUUUCGUCCGCA